GGUCCGGUGGUGGAACUGGCAUACACGCGAGACUUAAAAUCUCGUGCCGCAAGGCAUGUGGGUUCGAUUCCCACCCGGACCA
rnacentral:tRNA from 1 species